rnacentral:pre_miRNA from 1 species
CAUCAGGAAGAUGGGUGGCCACCCCCCAGGCUGGGCUGGGCGAGUAUCUUUUCAAAAGGCUCACUCUCAAGCAUGACUAGUAGC